GUAGCUCGGACCAUAUAUUAAAUAGAUUUUUGGAGCAGAGAGAUGGAAUAGGGGCUUGCUCCGUCCACUCCACGCAUCGACCUGGUAUUGCAGUAUCUCCAGGAACGGUGCACUCCCU
rnacentral:snRNA from 1 species